GAUGAACGCUGGCGGCGUGCCUAAUACAUGCAAGUCGAGCGAAAAGACGAGGAGCUUGCUCCCCUGACGGUAGCGGCGGACGGGCGAGUAACACGUGGAUAACCUACUUAUAAGACUGGGAUAACUUCGGGAAACCGGAGCUACUACCGGAUAAUAUAUUGAACCGCAUGGAUCAAUAGUGAAAGACGGUUUUGCUGUCACAUAUAGAUGGAUCCGCGCCGUAUUAGCUAGUUGGUAAGGUAACGGCUUACCAAGGACACGACGCGUAGCCGACCUGAGAGGGUGCACGGCCACUCUGGAACAGACACGCGGCCCAGACCCAUGCGAGGGGCAGGAGUGGAGUAUCGGCCGCAAGGCGCGAGAGUCAGACAGAGCUACGGCGCGUGAGUGAUGAGCGUCUGCGGUGCGAAAAACUCUUUUAGCGGGGAAAAACAAAUGUGUAAGUAACUAUGCGCGUUGAGGGGAUACCUAGACAGAACGCCGCGGCUAUCCACG
rnacentral:rRNA from 1 species